UCUUAAUGUAAUUGAAUGUUCUUAACGUAAAUAUUUACAGGAAAACUCCUCAAGGUCUUGAAAUAUAUGGCCUAUAAAAUCAUUCUCUUUGGGAAAGAAUUGCAGACAAGUCAUCAUCCUUUGAGGAUAAGUUCGAUUAAAAGGUCCAUUUAUGAACUAUAAGAAGGAUUCAGUAUGUGUCAUCAUUUUCAUAAAAGGAAGGAAAUCAGCAAAGUAGCCCAACUCUCUGGGGAAGAUGCAAUGUCAACAAUUAGGAAGAAUGUAAUUUAUCUUGUGCCAAAGAGGUCCAACAGUGAAUCCCAAUCAGACAAAUACCACUAAAAUGAUGACAAACACAAAAAAAUCAUCAACCUGUAAGGCAAAAGAGGAUGGGUGGAACUGAGGAGGACAGAUAAUAAAUAGCAGGUAAAUGGAGAUCAAUAUGAUAUUUUAAAAUAUAGGUAAAAUGGACAAGUGGCAACUCACUAAGCAAACUAGAAAAAUCUGAAAUUUUAGUUCACAUUUUGUGGAGGAAAUCAAUCAAGAAAUCAUCCUAUUUAUCUCACAGAAACUAGGGAUUGACAAUAAUGGGUAUAUUGGAAUAUGGGCUAUAGUGG
rnacentral:lncRNA from 1 species